UCGUCAUUUUCCAAAAGGACCAUAAUAGGGGAAAGAGGAUACUAAAGCAGAACUUUUCUCAACCCACGAUGCAAGUCAAAAUAAGGAUUUACGAUCUCAGCAAGCGGAAAAAAGAAGUGCAUUCAUUUUUCUGACGUACAAGCCGGCUCUACGUAUUCAACCAAGGUCAAGAACAAUAGCAUAUUGAUUUUUUGAGAUGUGCACAUUUCGAAACAAUACAGCCGAAAACACGAACAAUUCAGCUCAACAAGAUUAUAUUCGAAUAUUUCUUUUUAAUUCCCUCGGAAUAUAACAGAAUCCAUUUUAAGACCCCUCAAGAUUUCUCCUCUGUGAAAAUUUUCACUUGACAGACACAGUGCCUGAUUUUCAACCAACAAUAAAAAUAUUGUCAUUAACUGUUAUCUCUCAAAAGUAACAAAACUCUUGACGAACAAACUGAAAGAAACGAUGAGAAAGAGAAACAGAGGGAAAGAACAAGAGGAAGAAGCAUUCAAACUGACGAAGAAAUCAAAACGCGAUGGAAAAUCACAUUUGCGCACAAGCAGUCAUGUUGAUGACUAAGUGAAACAACGUUAAGCCAUAUCUAAGAGAAGCUCAACAUAAUUAUAAUUGUUCUCCACGGGUUAGUGUUACGGUAUAAUCUAACCGACAGAAAAACACUACAAUCCUACAAACUCAACUUCUUUAUUUCACAGCAAGUAAUGUUCUUAACCAGGAGCGACUCCUAAAAGAAGUACAAUACUUAUUGUUAAUAAACUUAAGUAAGCUCA